rnacentral:rRNA from 1 species
UACAGAGGUCUCAAGCGUUGUUCGGAUUCAUUGGGCGUAAAGGGUGCGUAGGUGGCGUGGUAAGUCGGGUGUGAAAUUUCGGAGCUUAACUCCGAAACUGCAUUCGAUACUGCCGUGCUUGAGGACUGGAGAGGAGACUGGAAUUUACGGUGUAGCAGUGAAAUGCGUAGAGAUCGUAAGGAAGACCAGUGGCGAAGGCGGGUCUCUGGACAGUUCCUGACACUGAGACACGAAGGCCAGGGGAGCAAACGGG